UUCACGUGUUGUCAAGACUGGCCUCAAACUCCUGGGCUCAAGCAAUGUUCCUGCCUUGGCCUUCCAAAGUGCUGGGAUUAUAGGCACAAACCACUGCACCCAGCCUAGUCCCACAACUUUCUUCUCAGUGGCUGUACUGUCUCUUCACAAUGGCGGUCUUACCCCUUGCUUGAACCUUCACUUUCUCAAUUCUGGAAACUUCUACAUUGCUCAGUGCUUCUUCCACAUCUUGUAGAUUCCUUAUGCUUGGCGUUGGAAACUUCUUCCUCUAACAGUGGAGAUUUUUCUUCAGAGAACCACUCCACCUGCCUGUUACUGGCUGAUACAUCUCUGACCAAAACAACUGUAUACAGGACUAAACCUCAGUUCUUCAGGGUCAGGGUAGGAAGUCAGAGGUAAGAGAUCCAUAAAUCUGUACUGCCCCCAAGCCACAAGCUGUCUCUUUGGAUUAGCAUAGAGUAGCAAAUGGCCAUGGGGCAUGUCCGUUGGGUCACCUGAGUCUUGUGGAACUGGAUUAGUGACAUAACUGUGUUAGGCCCUGCUGCAGACAGUAAUCUCUCUGGAAGGACAUGAGGUGGUGUGAGAAGUCACACAACUCAUUGUGAGACCACAGGGGCAGAUAACGCCUCAUCUGCCUUCAUCACAAUGCUUGAACCUUAAUCCUUUGAUGAUAGCUUUGCCACAUAACUUUUUUAAAUCUCUGGACAUUUUUCCAAACUCUGUUGAAUUUCAUUUUGCUGACUUCAUCUCAUCCUGUGUGUUCCAGGAAUGAAGAAGCAGAGAUCAUGCAAGGUGUUUCCAUCCAAAAGUAGGCGUCUCAUGUCAUCUGCUCUGGCCAGUAUUUAACCUUGAGAAAAGAAGAAGUGUAGAGAUGAUGUACUUGCCUGAGGGAUGGAUUAAAAAGUCUUUGGUCUUCUCUGAACGGUACUACUGAAUUUAUCCUCAUCACCAUCAUCAUUGUCAUUGUCAUCAUCAUCAUGAAAACAGGAGCAGAGAGAGGAAUGCUAUGAAGCUAUUAUUGUUCAAAAAAGACCUGGAGACAGUGGAUUGAAAAUCUCACAGCCAAAACGCAGUCUGGUGACUACCGUCUCUGGCUCUCAUUUGCUGACUUUGGAAGUUUUAAAAGGUUAGAACAACAUGCUUUUUUUUUCUUUUUUUAUUAGAAUGCCAAACUUCAAAACCUUUUGAGAAUAUUUUUGGUUCUUAACUCUAGAAGGAGGGCCCAGCAUCCCUUGAAAACAAGCUGAUUACUCUCCCAGAAAAGCAUCUCAGCAUCUGUUAUUGGGAAACAGGGGAAUGUGCCUGCUUUGGUUUCUUUGUUUCUGUCAUUCAACCCCCUCAUCCCAUUUUCCUUAACGGAACUUAACUAUGAUUUUUAGGGAAGACCUUAUGCUAAGUGUAGUUCCUCUCUUUUCCUCACUAUGCAGAUUCUAGACAACCUAGAUGCUCAGUAAGAAAGUGAACAGGACAUACAUACAGAGUGGAGUUGUUAGAAAUGAGACUGGAACAGGGACAGAGCAAGGAAUCCUCAUGUUUAGGUAUUUGAUCUCAUUAUACUGAAUGAUUCAGCAACACAUUCAGGUGUAAAAUGCUGCUUGAUAGGAGACAUAGAUACCGUUCAUGUUCUCAGGGGCAGAAUCCCAUCUGAGCAUGUCUGUGGGGCUAGGAGCUGUAGUCCUCAUUCUUUGAUCGUGAGCCAACCGGUUCUGGUCACUACUCAAUCACGUAAUCAUAGUAAUGUUUAUUGGGCUCUUACUAUGGGCUGGGCUGGGCUGUUUCCUUGCUUUGCAUGCAUUCUCUCAUUUAAUUCUUGCAGCAACCCUACAGCAGGUUCUUUUAUGAUCCCUGUUUUACAGAUGAGGACAGGUUGAGUAAUUUGUAUGAAGUCCCACAGCAAUGGAUGAUAGAGCUGGAAUUCUAGCUCAGGUGGUUAGGGUCCAGAGCCUGCCUUCAUUUAAUCCUUCAACUCAGAAGCCUAACGAGUGAUCAAGCUCAGUCUUGCAGGUGCCUCUGAAAGAUCUUAUCCAGCCAGUCCCUCUGGAGAUUUAUCAUUACAAACAUGGCAGGUACACAGGGAUACGCUAAGGAAACAUUGCAGGUCCCUCUGUUGUCACCUCACUCCAGGGACAAUAUCCAGUAAAUGCAGCUUAAAAAUAGCUCAUUGAGGCAUUAAAACCAUCUACUUUUUAAAAUUCACCAAUUAACGGCUUUAUAAAUACUUACUAAAUGACUAGCAUUGUACUGGAAACUAUGAUGAAUACAAAGAAAUGUCACACGAUCCUUACCCUUCAUUAAAACCAGCCCCCAAGAACCUAUACAUAAAAGUGCGUCAUUUUGUGAUACAUGAGCACUAAGUAGUGGAUGGGCCCCUUCAGGGAAAUCUCUGUGUUAACUUUUUUUUUGAGACCAAGUUUCACCCUGUCACCCAGGCUGGAGGGCAGUGGUAUGAUCACAGCUUACUGCAGCCUUUACCUCCUGGGCUGAAGUGAUUCUCUGGAGUAGCUGGGACUACAGGCGUGUGUCAUCACACUUGGCUAAUUUUUGUAUUUUUUAUAGAGACAGGGUCUCACUAUGUUGUUCAGGCUGAUCUUGACCUCCUGGCCUCAAGCAAUACUCUUGCCUUGGCCUCCCAAAGUGCUGAGAUUACAGAUGUGAGCCACUGAGCCCAGCCUGUGUUAACUUUUGAUAUGUAAUGCCAGCACAUUUCUGACAGAAAUCAUUAUGCGUUUUUAUCUCUAGAACAGACAGUCAAUCACUUCCCACUUCCUCUGUACUGUAUACUUCUGCUCAAUCAAUUCCUUUGA